rnacentral:rRNA from 1 species
AUUGAACGCUGGCGGCAGGCCUAACACAUGCAAGUCGAACGCGUGGCGGACGGGUGAGUAAUGUCUGGGAACCUGCCUGAUGGAGGGGGAUACAUACUGGAAACGGUAGCUAAUACCGCAUACCAUCAGAGGUGCCCAGAUGGGAUUAGCUAGUUGGUGGGGUAACGGCUCACCAAGGCGACUAUCCCUAGCUGGUCUGAGAGGAUGAACAGCCACACUGGAACUGAGACACGGUCCAGACUCCUACGGGAGGCAGAAGUGGGGAAUAUUGCACAAUGGGCGAAAGCCUGAUGCAGACAGGCCGCGUGUAUGAAGAAGGCCUUCGGGUGGUAAAGUACUUUCAGCGGGGAGGCGUUACCCGCAGAAGAAGCACCGGCUAACUCCGUGCCAGCAGCCGCGGUAAUUC